rnacentral:tRNA from 1 species
GACCAGAUAGCUCAGUCGGUUAGAGCAUUGUCCCGAUACAUCAAAGAUGUGGGUUUGAUCCCCGGUCAGGGCA